UUAUAUAUAAUAUAUAUAUUUCCAUGCAAAGCAUGGAAAGAAUUUACGAAUGCUGUUACGUCCUCGGAUUUAAUUUUACAUAAAGAUCCGCAGCCCGAUAACAUGAAUGUCUUUAGUCAACCCUCGUACGUUCCUCGAAUGAACAUUCGUCUAUUCUCUAUUUUCAGAUUCUGUACAGAAUUCUGCAUCUGUUUAAUUCUGCUGUGAUUUUACGGAUUUGUUUAAAGUAUAUGAUUAUGAAUAAAAUAUAAUUGUCAAUCGGAAAUGGAUGAGAACCAAUGUACAAGGGUUAAAAUAACGUGUGUUUAGCGUGCGUGUACCGGAAGGACAUGACGCACGGCUGACCCCUGUUACAGAGGUAGCCGCGAAAGAAAUAUAAAUGAAUAAUAAACAUAAUCGCAAGAAUGGCAAUGAUCAGAAGAAUUAUAUUGCGUAAGCGUCGACGCGAGUUUCCUGAAGGCUGCACAAAAGUGUUUUGAUUAGCCGUUGGUUCGCUUGAGGAACUGUCGUACGGCGUUACGCUUAGUUUGGUCUCGUCUGGUUCUGACUUCACCUUCCUGAACAAAAAGAACUUGGGACUCUUUUUUUCCAACGGGAAUGCUACAUGCGAUUCCGCCGUAGAAGUGCUCGUGCGCUGGUGAAUAAAAGGGCUGUUUCAACCUUUCAACAAUUAAUUGAAAAUUACACUCUCGUGUCGCAUUAUUUCACUUGGCUCUCUUGGGAUUCCCGCAUCUGCUCGCGUACCAGCCGAAUCAGUUUGCAUUUCAGAUUAUAAUGAAUACAGUUUCACCUCCUUCCCUCUUAUUUCGGCUGUUGAAACAUGGAGGCAACCCUCGGCUCUCAAAAUCAAAAUGCCCUAGUUCUAAAAAACAGGAAAAGUUGCAGAACGAACUGAAAAAUUCGAAGAAGGAGCAAAUGAGACAAGAAGUAUUGGAAAGUGCAGUUGAUUUAGAUUGUCCAUGGUGUAAGAAGAAACGAUAAUGAAGUGAAAAAUACUUAGCUGGCUUUUAAUUUGACAUCGGUCUUAAUAAUUAUUCAUCAGUAUAUACAUCAAUUUUUAUAUAAUCCAGUAGAAAGUAUACUUAAUUGAAAUUGUUAAAUGCUUAUAGCAUUGUAAAAAAUUGGGACUAUACUAAAUACACACUUAAACCUAAGCUCUUAAUAUACACUAUCCUAUAUUUUCUCAUAAGAUUUUGCUAGUUAACCUUUGGCUUCUUUUCUGGUGGGGGUUUCAUAUCUUUCUUCUCGACUUUCACUUCUUGCUUGAUCUCUAUGGCUGUAAAUGGAAAAAAAUAUAUUAAUUCCACAAUUGUCACUUGGUUAA